GACGAACGCUGGCGGCGCGCUUAACACAUGCAAGUCGAGCGAUGAAAUUUCGACGGAUCCCUUCGGGGUGAAGAUGAAAUGGAUUAGCGGCGGACGGGUGAGUAACACGUGAGUAACCUGCCUUAGACAUUGGGAUAGCCUCGGGAAACCGGGAUUAAUACCAAAUGAAAUCACAUAUGCACAUGCAUAAAUGAUCAAAGCUCCGGCGGUCUAAGAUGGACUCGCGUCCCAUUAGCUAGUUGGUGAGGUAACGGCCCACCAAGGCGACGAUGGGUAGCCGGCCUGAGAGGGUGAACGGGCCACAUUGGAACUGAGAAACGGUCCAAACUCCUACGGGAGGCAGCAGUGGGGAAUAUUGCACAAUGGAGGGAACUCUGAUGCAGCGACGCCGCGUGAACGAAGAAGGC
rnacentral:rRNA from 1 species